rnacentral:lncRNA from 1 species
CACUUCUUUUAUCUUUUACUUGAUUCAGUCAUUAGACUGCGGCCAUGCUAGAGCACCACUAUAGUCGAACAAAUCGACCUCAGGACUUAUUCUUUCUAAAUCUAGUACUUAUUCUAUCGGUUUUUGUCGAACAGCUAAGUUACGGGCACGUAAACACACCAACAUUGGUUGUCAAGCGAUGGUGGCGCGGGGACAAACUCAGACCCACAAACAUAUAUAUAUAUAUAAAGAAACUGGUUUCCCAACCACAUUAAUCGGGGUUCAGUCCUGCUGCAUGGCAACUCGGGGUGACCAAAGCCUUCUGAAGCAUAUAUAUAUAUAUAUAUAUAUAUAUAUAUAUAUAUAUAUAUAUAUAUAUAUAUAUAUAUAUAUAUAUAUAUAUAUAUAUAUAUAUAUAUAUAUAUGGUGUGCGAAAAUAUGUAGAAAAUAUAUAUAAAAAGGGAAAGAGAAAUGCCUUCAUUUCACAUAAUUUUAAUAUCUUUUUAUAAAGAUAUAUAUACAUACAUAUAUCAUGGAUGGUAAAAGUCUCAUAAAAUGUAGUGAUAUCAAACUGGUUUUCGCUAUUUAAAUUAGCUUUUCAAGGUACAUUGUGGUGUAAUCAUUCCUUGAAACAAAGGAAUCGCGCCAUUUUAUAUAAUAAUAAUAACAAUUAUUAUUAUUAUUAUUAUUAUUAUUAUUAUUAUUAUUAUUAUAUCUCUUUUACUCUUUUACUCUGUUACUUGUUUCAGUCAUUUGACUGCGGCCAUGCUGGAGCACCGCCUUUAGUCGAGUAAAUCGAGCCCGGGACUUAUUCUUUGUAAGCCCAGUACUUAUUCUAUCGGUCUCUUUUGUCGAACCGCUAACGUAAACACACCAGCAUCGGUUGUCAAGCAAUGCUAGGAGGAAAAACACAGACACACAAACACACACACAUAUAUAUACAUAUAUAUAUAUAUAUAUAUAUAUAUAUAUAUAUAUAUAUAUAUAUAUAUAUAUAUAUAUAUAUACGACAGACUUCUUUCAGUUUCCGUCUACCAAAUCCACUCACAAGGCUUUGGUCGACCUGAGGCUAUAGUAGAAGACACUUGCCCAAGGUGCCACGCAGUGGGACUGAACCCGGAACCAUGUGGUUGGUAAGCAAGCUACUUACCACACAGCCACUCCUGUGCCUAUAUGUAUAUAUAAAGAGAGGAAAAUGGAGAGUUAAUGGUUGAUGAUUAAAUUAUUAACAUAUUGAUAAUCAUUUCAAGAAUUGUUUCAAUUUAUACUCAAUAAAUUACAACAUUAUGUAAUAAAGUUGCAUUUAUAAGUCGUGAGCAAAAUAAGCUCUCCGCGGUACACCAAGCUAAUAUUUAUUCACAUUGUUCACAUUAUUUAUGCUAUUUACAUUUAAUGGAUAUUUGUCCUCGUCUUGUUUGUUGUUAACACAACAUUUCGGCUGAUAUACCCUCCAGCCUUCUUCAGGUGUCUUGGGGAAAUUUCGAACCUGGGUUCUCAUUCCUAACGAAUAUUUUUCGAUGUUAUUAUUAUUGUUGUUGUUGUUGUUGUUGUUGUUGUUGUUGUUGUUGCUGUUGUUCAGGUCAUUGCUUGGAAUCGAACUCGGAAUCUUGGCGUUAGUAGCCCGCACUCUAAACCACUACGCCAUAUGCUCGUAAUCCCAAGAUUCCGAGUUCGAUUCCAAGCAGUGACCUGAACAAUAAUAAUAAUAAUAAUAAUAAUAAUAAUAAUAAUGUAUCAAUGUGUCUCUAAAAGAAAUGGAGAAACUUUCAAAAUACCAAGACCUGGAAAUAGAGGUAACCAGAAUGUGGAAUCUAAAAACAGAAACAAUUCCUAUCAUAGUAGGUGCAUUAGGCAUGAUAAAAAAUAUUCAGGCAAAUACAUAACAAAAACACCAGGACUUACAAACACAUAUAACAUACAGAAAAUUGCACUACUAGGUACUGCACACAUCCUACGCAGAACACUUUCCAUACAAUAACCAUCAGAGCAUCACAACAAAUCACAGCACAUACCCAAGGCACACAGAGCUGCGCUCGGUAGUGAAGUGAAAGCACGCUAUAAAAAUAAAACUACUGAAAAUAAUAAUAAUAAUAAUAAUAAUAAUAAUAAUAAUAAUAAUAAUAAUAAUAAUAAUAACAUCGAAAAAUACAUUAGAAAUGAGAACCCAGGUUCGAAAUUUCCCAAGACGAAGGCUGGAGGGUAUAUCAGGCGAAACAUUGUGUUAACAACAAACAAGAUGAGGACAAAUAUCUGUCGAAUGUAAAUAAUGUAAACUAAUAAUAUGUGGUUUUAAAUUAUUAAAAAAUCACCGCGUAUUCUUGUGGCAGAGUCCGAAGCUAUUAUCCAUCACUAUUUUAUAUUGUAUACCAGUUAAACUGGCUUUUAUGCUGAGUUAUAUACAAGACAAGGUAUAAAUAAUGGUUAUUACAUAUUAGAGAAAAUCUGACUUACAGCUGUUUCCAGUAGUGAUUAAAACGCACCUGUAAUAGCUACAGGAAACUGCUGUAAGUCGAAUUUACUACAAUAAAUAAAGAUAUGUAAUUACCACUAUUUGCGCCUUGUCUUUUGUAUAUAUAUAUGUGUGUGUGUGUGUGUGUGUGUGUGUGUGUGUGUGUGUGUGUGUGUGUGUGGAUCUGUAUUGUAUGUAUAUAGAUAUAUAUAUAUAUAUAUAUAUAUAUGUAUAUAUAUGCGUGUGUGUGUGUGUGUGUUUGUAUAUGUGCGUACCUGUGUGUAAUGUGUGAACAUGCGUGUGUAUAUGCGUAUAUAUGUAUGUAUAUAUAUAUAUAUAUGUAUAAAAUACUCACACAUAUAUACAUACAUAUACAUGUAAAUAUAUGUAUCAUAUUAGUAAAACCUACCUACCUAAUUUUAAAUAUAUUUAUCUGUCUGUCUGUCUAUGUCUCUAUGCAGAUACAUCUCUCAGUUUUUCUAUAUGUCCCUUUAUAUAUAUAUAUAUAUAUAUAUAUAUAUAUAUAUAUAUAUAUAUAUAUAUAUAUAUAUAUAUCUUCUUAUGUCUAGCUGUCUAUCUAUUUAUCUAUCUAUCUAUCCAUUGCUCUAGCCAUCGUUCUCUCUUUAUAUAUAUAUAUAUAUAUCUGUGCAAUUAUUUAUCUAUCUAUCUAUCUAUCUGUCUAUCUACCUAUCUAACUGUCUAUCUAUCUACUUAUCUAACUGUCUAUCUAUCUACCUAUCCAUCGAUCUAGCCAUCAAUCUCUCUCUCUCUCUCUCUCUCUCUAUAUAUAUAUAUAUAUAUAUAUAUAUAUAUAUAUGCAUUUAUCUAUCUAUCUACAUAUCUAUCUAUUUAUCUUAUCAAUCUGUUUGCUUGUGUGUUUUUUUCUGUUUUUCUGUCUAUCAUCCACUCUGUUGGUCUAUCAAUGUAUCUCCUCCGUCUUACCAUCUAUCUAGCCAUUUUUCUGUCUGACUGUCAGCCUGCCUGCCUAUCAUUUUAUCUAUGUGUUAGUCUGUCUGUCUCUCCAUGUGCGAGUUAGGCACGAUCGUAUUCUUUUUUGCUUUUUGUUCCUGGCUCUCUGUUCCAAUCUCUUUUUCCUUCUUCCUUCUCUUCUCUAGUGUUUUUUUUUUCUGUAGAUUUGACGAAGUGCUAUUUCCGAAACGUCAUACCUUUACUCUUAACUCGUAUUUUCGAACGUCAAACUGAUAAUAUUCUCUGUCAACGUCCAUUGAACUUUUAUCGUUGUGGCAUACAUAUAUUCAUAUAUUUGUGGGUGUGUGGGUGUAUGUGUGUGUAUGUGUGCGUGUGUGUGUGUAAUAUAUAUAUAUAUAUAUAUAUAUAUAUAUAUAUAUAUACGCUUCGCCAAAGCGGUAUUCCGUGAAAAUUGGUAAACUUUGUACUUAAGGAAAUCCUAUUUAGUUAGUAGCAUCCGCCAAUGAAUUAAAGCUUCACGCCAAGUCUUCCCUUUACAAAUUAGUUUAGAUCGUAGAAUUUUAUGAUCUAUGUUCAAUACUGCACCUAUUAACGCCUGAACAUCUCUCGCGCCUCUAAAACCUUUUGGAUUACUUCCAAGUUCGUUUUGUGAAUUUCUUUAUUUUCAAAGAGUGCAUUACGGAAGUGAUCGAAAGGGAAAAAGUUUGAAUUUGUUUUAGUCCAUGAUGUUUUAACGAUUCCGUAUUUCAAAAUUUUCACCAACUCGUCUUUCUGAAACAUCAUAAACGGAAUUUGCCGAAUAAUGUUUAACUUUUACCGUUUACUUGUUUCGAUCAUUGCACUGCGACCACAAUAGAGCAAUGCCGUGAAGGACUUUUAGUCGAAUAAAUCAACCACAGUACCUAGUACGUAUAUUAUCGGUCUCUUUUUGUCGAACCGCUAUUUCACGGCGCCGUAAACAAGCCAAAAUCAGUUGUCAAGUGGUGGCGAGGGGACAACCACAGGCACAAAGUUAAAACACCCACACACUUCCUCCGGAUCUUUACGUUCUGAGUUCAAAACCUACCGCGGUCAACUUCGUUUUUCGUCACUUUCGGGGUUGAUAAAAUAAUCAGUUUGUCUCCUUUCCUCCAAAUUUCUGGCCUCGAAUCCCCGCAACGGAAUGUUGUAAUCAUAAAUACUUAUAUACACUAUGGAAACCAGGUAGUUAUAUUCGUAUGCAUGUAUAUAUAUGUAUGAAUAUAUAUGUGUAUGUAUGCAUAUAUAUAUAUAAUGUAUGUUUCUAUGUGUAUAUAUAUAUAUAUAUAUAUAUAUGCAUAUGUAUGUAUAUAUAUGUGAAUGUAUACAUAUAUAUAUGUGUGUGUAUGUAUACAUAUAUGUAUAUAUAUAUGUAUAUAUAUGUGUAUAUAUACAUUUAUAUAUGUAUAUAUAUAUAUGUAUAUGUAUAUAUAUAUAUACACACACACAUUUAUAUAUGUAUGAAUAUAUAUUUAUAUAUAUAUAUAUAUAUAUAUAUAUAUAUAUAUAUAUUCAUACGUAUGUACAUAUAUAUAUAUAUAUAUAUAUAUAUAUAUACAAUUAUGUGUGUAUAUAUAUAUAUAUAUAUAUAUAUAUAUAUAUAUAUAUAUAUAUGUAGUGGUGU